rnacentral:rRNA from 1 species
CAAACGGGCGAGUAACGCGUGCUCAACCUGCCCUGAAGUAAGGGACAACAUCGGAAACGGUGCUAAUCCCUUAUAUGCCCUUUAAACUGGAAUGUUUUUAGGGUAAAGGCUACAGCCGCUUCAGGAGGGGGGCGCGUCCUAUCAGCUAGUUGGUGAGGUAAAGGCUCACCAAGGCAACGACGGGUAGCCGGACUGAGAGGUCGGUCGGCCGCAAUGGGACUGAGACACGGCCCAUACCCCUACGGGGGGCAGCAGUGGGGAAUAUUGGGCAAUGGACGAAAGUCUGACCCAGCGAUCCCGCGUGGAGGAAGAAGGCCUACGGGUUGUAAACUCCUUUUCUGGGAGAAGACGAAUGACGGUAUCCCAGGAAUAAGCCACGGCCAACUACGUGCCAGCAGCCGCGGUAAUACGUAGGUGGCAAGCGUUAUCCGGAAUUACUGGGCGUAAAGGGUCCGUAGCCGGCUGCAUAAGUCUACUUUCAAAGACCUUGGCUCAACCAAGGAAAGGGGGUAGAUACUGUGCAGCUAGAGGUAGUUGGAGGCUAAUGGAAUUCUCGGUGGAGGGGUGAAAUCCGUUGAUAUCGAGAAGAAUGCCGAAAGCGAAAGCAGUUAGCUACAACUAUCCUGACGGUGAGGGACGAAAGCAUGGGUAGCAAACAGGAUUAGAUACCCUGGUAGUCCAUGCUGUAAACUAUGCUCGCUAGGUGUUUCUGCCUUGUGCAGGAGUGCCGUAAGCUAACGCGUUAAGCGGGCCGCCUGAGGAGUACAGUCGCAAGACCGAAACUCAAAGGGAUAGGCGGGGGAAUACACAAGCGGUGGAGCGCCUCGAUUAAUUGGAUAAUAAGCCAAGAAUCUUACC